GGGCUGUGGGGACAGUGACAAGGGAACUGAUCUGAUAACACGCUCUCCCUCGGAAGUGUCACAAUAGCUUGUGGAUUUCAGGCCUCAUGGUACCUUCCUGCCCCAACCACAAGUGAGUACUUCACUUGAUGUGUACCCAGCAAGAAGAGGAGAAAGUUCCCCCAGAGUAAACAAAGAGCUAGAAGCAGAAGGGGACUGGAAGGUCACAGGAAGCUGGGGACAUGUCAUGGUCUCUAAGAAGAAGAAAGUGUUGGACCAGCCUUGGAACAAACACCCAGAGCUAAGUUUUCUUUUCCAUCUUCUUUCUAGAAAAGAAGAUACAUCUUUACACAUCCCUCCCAAGGAGCAACUGCUUGGACCAUCCAGGGACGGGAACCAGGGCCACCACUUCUCACAAGGCCACGAGUCACCUGAACCUCUAUGCUGGAGCUGCCCUGCAAGAGUCCUCACCCUACACCCUGCUGCUGUGGUUACAUGAUGGAUAUUGGAAAGACGACUCAGUGAUUAAGAGCAUUGACUGUUCUUCCAGAGGACCUGGAUUCACUUUCGAGAAACUACACGGUGGCACACAAUUGUCUGUAAUUCCAGACCUAGGCAAUCCAACACCUUCUCUGGCCUCUUUGGGCACUACAGGCAUGAUGUGAACAGAAAUACAUGAAGGCAAAAUGUCCAUAUAUAAAAAAUAAAAU